rnacentral:rRNA from 1 species
CGCGAGUCAUUGGGUUGACACUAAACCUAAAGGCGCAAUGAAAGUGAAGGUUCCGCUUCGUGCGGGCCGAGGGAAGAUGGGGCGUGCUCCUGCGCGACCCCCGCAUUCCCGGGGCGUCUCGUUCUCAUUGCGAGUUGAGGCGCACCCAGAGCGUACACGUUGGGACCCGAAAGAUGGUGAACUAUGCCUGGCCAGGACGAAGUCAGGGGAAACCCUGAUGGAGGUCCGUAGCGAUUCUGACGUGCAAAUCGAUCGUCGGAGCUGGGUAUAGGGGCGAAAGACUAAUCGAACCAUCUAGUAGCUGGUUCCCUCCGAAGUUUCCCUCAGGAUAGCUGGUGCUCGAACGAGUCUCAUCCGGUCAAGCGAAUGAUUAGAGGCCUUGGGGCCGAAACGACCUCAACCUAUUCUCAAACUUUAAAUGGGUGAGAUCUCCGGCUUGCUUAAAGCACUGAAGCCGUGAGACCUUUUUGGAUCGGAGUGCCAAGUGGGCCACUUUUGGUAAGCAGAACUGGCGCUGUGGGAUGAACCAAACGCAGAGUUAAGGCGCCCGAAUAGACGCUCAUGGGAAACCAUGAAAGGCGUUGGUUGCUUAAGACAGCAGGACGGUGGCCAUGGAAGUCGGAAUCCGCUAAGGAGUGUGUAACAACUCACCUGCCGAAGCAACUAGCCCUGAAAAUGGAUGGCGCUGAAGCGUCUUGCCUAUACUCUGCCGUCAGCACGGCAAUGAGGGGUGCGCGGUUCGCUUCGGCGUGCCCGCCCCGUGAGGCCCUGACGAGUAGGAGGGUCGCGGCGGUGAGCGCAGAAGGGUCUAGGCGUGAGCCUGCCUGGAGCCGCCGUCGGUGCAGAUCUUGGUGGUAGUAGCAAAUACUCCAGCGAGGCCCUGGAGGACUGACGUGGAGAAGGGUUUCGUGUGAACAGCCGUUGCACACGAGUCAGUCGAUCCUAAGCCCUAGGAGAAAUCCGAUGUCGAUGGGGUCCGAGACUUUGAGUUAGGACCCCAUGGGGCGAAAGGGAAUCCGGUUCCUAUUCCGGAACCCGGCAGCGGAACCGUAAUAAGUCGGGCCCCUCGCAAGAGAAGCUCGUCGGGGUAACCCAAAAGGACCCGGAGACGCCGUCGGGAGAUCGGGGAAGAGUUUUCUUUUCUGCAUGAGCGUUCGAGUUCCCUGGAAUCCUCUAGCAGGGAGAUAGGGUUUGGAACGCGAAGAGCACCGCAGUUGCGGCGGUGUCCCGAUCUUCCCCUCGGACCUUG